rnacentral:tRNA from 1 species
GGGGCUGUAGCUCAGCUGGGAGAGCGCCUGAAUGGCAUUCAGGAGGUCGGCGGUUCGAUCCCGCUCAGCUCCACCA